AUGAAUUUCCAUCUAGUGAAGGAAAAGGAUCGCAAGCAAACAGUUUCAGCACGAUGUAGUGAAUAUUUCAUUCAUUUGUUGAGGUACUUAUGUUUGUCCAGUUCAUCGUCAGAAGGAUUUCCAGCUGAUAUUUUGGCUGUGGCGGGAAGAGCCCUGGGACUGGGAAUUCUGGUUCUGGAAAGGAUUCCCUCAUGCUUAUGCAGUUCAGUCUCCUUCAGCUGUAACAUGAAGGGAAUUCCUCCCCAGCCUCCUGUCCACACCAAAGCUGUGAGGAGGCUGGGGUCUUUUCAGGGGUCUCCAGGAGCAGUGAGUGCACGGGGAGUCCCGCUGGAGCGGCCCUCGGCUCCAGGAUGGUCUGCAGAAUAGAAAGAUCCACAGGUCUAGGGGCAUGGAGUCCAGGGCCCCAGGUGAGAGACCACCCAAGUCACAGGCAGAAUGGGGUCUUCAGGCAAUGGACUGACAUUCAGGGCAGGGCUCAGCUCUCAGCAAGGAGCUGGAGGGAAGUAGGAACUGACUGUCGGCCUCUGAGGAAACCCCUUUGGUUACAGAACGGGGCACCAUGGUGGGGCCCAAGGGAGAUCGAGACUCCUCAGCCUCUGGAGGGCCCAGUAGGCACAGGCCAAGGAGCCACAUCCCUGAAGUCAGGCCCUAGAUCUGGGUAGGGUGGACCUGCAGCGGCCCAUGCUGGUAACAUCGACUCAUCCAGGCUGAAGAGAGCGGGGGGUGGGGAUUGUUUUGGGGGAUCAAGCAUCUGGAUGUGAAAUUCUAGGUAAACUGCUAAGUGUAGUCAUUUCUCAGGUGGAAUCAACUGACUCUUUCUACACUCUGUGCAUUAGCAUCUGAAUUUUUCUGGAGGAUCAAAAUAUGCUUGAUACGCAGCAGAUGAGACUCUGGUGGUCCUGGGCAAACACAGAUGCAUGAACAUGUCUAUUGUUAACAACAAAUUUGCAGGACAGUUUUUGGGUAUCAAAGCCCUUCCACGGCAUCGUCUCCUGGCUUGUCCUUGUAGUUACCAAAUGUUACCAAAUGUUUGUCUGAUGUUGGGAUACAUUUAUACAAAAGAGUCUCUGGGACAACAUUCAGGACAACAUUGCUGAAUGGUCCAGCAAAUGAACGAAUGCCUUUCAGUUUAUUAUUUGAGAUCAGAAGAUUCUCUAAGACCCAUGUGCUUGUUUCUCCUCUGUUAGUUUAUCUUCAUAAGUCCAUGCCCCCCACACUCACACACACAGAGUAAGGCUUUCUUGGGACAAGCUGAGGUCAAAUCUUGGGUCAGCCCUUCUUCAGCUUCCCAAGCCCUGGAGUGCAGAUGCAUACAUUUUUGGGGAGUUUGGCAAUCCUUAUCCUGCCCAGUCUCAUCAGGCCCGUGAGUAUGCAUUGUCCCUGACCACAGUCAUGAAUGUCUCGCAGCCCAUCCCCAGUGGGUCAGUUCUUGCUCCCACAUCACUAGGCUUAGAAAAGGCAAGUGUCUGGUAUGCUUGUGGGGAACUUCGUGUGCAGCCAGAGGCAAUCGGUCCCAGGAAUCUGGGUUCUUCCUAUCUUGGGUCAUCAUAAUUGAACUUUUCUGGGCAACUUGGAAUCUUGGUGUCUGACGAAGUUCAUGAUACUCGUUUAAGGUAAAUGUUGAAACUUUCCAUUUCAUAAUAAAGUAAAAACUAGAUAUAUUCUCA
rnacentral:lncRNA from 1 species